UUAUCUGAACCUUCGGGGAACGAUAACGGCGUCGAGCGGCGGACGGGUGAGUAAUGCCUAGGAAAUUGCCCUGAUGUGGGGGAUAACCAUUGGAAACGAUGGCUAAUACCGCAUGAUGCCUACGGGCCAAAGAGGGGGACCUUCGGGCCUCUCGCGUCAGGAUAUGCCUAGGUGGGAUUAGCUAGUUGGUGAGGUAAGGGCUCACCAAGGCGACGAUCCCUAGCUGGUCUGAGAGGAUGAUCAGCCACACUGGAACUGAGACACGGUCCAGACUCCUACGGGAGGCAGCAGUGGGGAAUAUUGCACAAUGGGCGCAAGCCUGAUGCAGCCAUGCCGCGUGUAUGAAGAAGGCCUUCGGGUUGUAAAGUACUUUCAGUCGUGAGGAAGGCGGUGUCGUUAAUAGCGGCUUCGUUUGACGUUAGCGACAGAAGAAGCACCGGCUAACUCCGUGCCAGCAGCCGCGGUAAUACGGAGGGUGCGAGCGUUAAUCGGAAUUACUGGGCGUAAAGCGCAUGCAGGUGGUUUGUUAAGUCAGAUGUGAAAGCCCGGGGCUCAACCUCGGAAUAGCAUUUGAAACUGGCAGACUAGAGUACUGUAGAG
rnacentral:rRNA from 1 species